rnacentral:rRNA from 1 species
UACGGAGGAUCCGAGCGUUAUCCGGAAUUAUUGGGUUUAAAGGGUGCGUAGGCGGCCAUUUAAGUCAGCGGUGAAAUUUUGCAGCUUAACUGUAACAGUGCCGUUGAUACUGGGGAGCUAGGAUUUGGUUGCUGUGGGUGGAAUGUGUGGUGCAGCGGUGAAAUGCUUAGAGAUCACACAGAAUAUCGAUUGCGAAGGCAGCUCACAAAGCCAAGAUUGACGCUGAGGCACGAAAGUGUGGGGAUCAAACA